ACGGAGGGGGCUAGCGUUGUUCGGAAUUACUGGGCGUAAAGCGCUCGUAGGCGGAUUGAUAAGUCAGAGGUGAAAGCCCAGGGCUCAACCUUGGAAUUGCCUUUGAAACUGUCAGUCUUGAGUUCAGGAGAGGUGAGCGGAAUUCCGAGUGUAGAGGUGAAAUUCGUAGAUAUUCGGAGGAACACCAGAGGCGAAGGCGGCUCACUGGACUGAUACUGACGCUGAGGAGCGAAAGCGUGGGGAGCAAACAGG
rnacentral:rRNA from 1 species